rnacentral:tRNA from 1 species
AAAACCAACAAUUAAUAUUUUGAAAGUGUUAUAUAGGCUUUAUCAGCCUUUGGUUUUU